AACGUAGGAGGCGAGCGUUAUCCGGAUUUACUGGGCGUAAAGCGCGCGUAGGCGGGUGGGUAAGUCUGACGUGAAAGCCCCUGGCUCAACUGGGGGAGGUCGUUGGAUACUGCCCGGCUUGAGGGUGAGAGAGGAGAGUGGAAUUCCCGGUGUAGCGGUGGAAUGCGUAGAGAUCGGGAGGAACACCAGUGGCGAAAGCGGCUCUCUGGCUCAUUCCGGACGAGGAGUGCGCGAAAGCGUGGGGAGCAAACGGG
rnacentral:rRNA from 1 species